rnacentral:misc_RNA from 1 species
UUGAUUUUUAAAGAUGUGCUGGCAUUUAAAAUGCAUGUGCACUCUACACAAAAACCAAUAUCCACCUGUGCACAUUCUGUAAGCAAACAGGGUCUUUUGCCCUUUGCUUAUGUCCCUUUACAAACAAUCAUUGAUUUAUUUGAAUGUUAUUAUAAAAACUAAUA